UCUAGUGACUUUAAACUGGGCCACUUGGUGACCCGAGGGUGCUGGGCCACGGCUGUCUCUAGGACCGACGGAGUCAAACUCCAGCAAUUGUUAGUGGCCGCGCCUGCCUAACGCUGGCCGUGGGGCCCUCAGUUGGCUGGACUGACUGGUCUCCCAAGCUCGGAUCCGACCCAGCUGCGAACCGGCCUGGUACUUUCAAGUUGGGUAUCCAGGAAGGUGUUCUGAAAGUAAAAUGUCACACAUUCUCCUGCUGGAGGUUUUUCAGGAACUUCAGGGAGAAAAAAAAAUACAAAGAAAUGAGACCAUAUGUUGCAAGAUAUACCAAA